rnacentral:rRNA from 1 species
GACGAACGCUGGCGGCGUGCUUAACACAUGCAAGUCGAGCGGAAAGGCCCUUCGGGGUACUCGAGCGGCGAACGGGUGAGUGACACGUGAGUAACCUGCACCAGACUUUGGGAUAACCCUAGGAAACGGGGGCUAAUGCCGAAUACGACACAGAUUUGCUUGGGCUCUGUGUGGAAAGUUUUGCGGUUUGGGAUGGGCUCGCGGCCUAUCAGCUUGUUGGUGGGGUGAUGGCCUACCAAGGCGACGACGGGUAGCCGGCCUGAGAGGGCGACCGGCCACACUGGGACUGAGACACGGCCCAGACUCCUACGGGAGGCAGCAGUGGGGAAUAUUGCACAAUGGGCGGAAGCCUGAUGCAGCGACGCCGCGUGCGGGAUGACGGCCUUCGGGUUGUAAACCUCUUUCGGCAGGGACGAAGCGUAAGUGACGGUACCUGCAGAAGAAGCGCCGGCCAACUACGUG